rnacentral:rRNA from 1 species
CGGAGGAUCCAAGCGUUAUCCGGAAUCAUUGGGUUUAAAGGGUCCGUAGGCGGUUUAGUAAGUCAGUGGUGAAAGCCCAUCGCUCAACGGUGGAACGGCCAUUGAUACUGCUAAACUUGAAUUAUAAGGAAGUAACUAGAAUAUGUAGUGUAGCGGUGAAAUGCUUAGAUAUUACAUGGAAUACCAAUUGCGAAGGCAGGUUACUACUUAUGGAUUGACGCCGAUGGACGAAAGCGUGGGGAGCGAACAGGAUUAGAUACCCUGGUAGUCCACGCCGUAAACGAUGGAUACUAGCUGUUCGGAGCAAUCUGAGUGGCUAAGCGAAAGUGAUAAGUAUCCCACCUGGGGAGUACGUUCGCAAGAAUG